UCGCCAACCCUAGCCCGCCGCUCCCCUCGAUCCCCUUAUCCAUCGCCGCCCUUUAUCCAUCGCCGCCGCUCGCCCUCCCUUCGUCCGCCGCCGCUCCCCUCGAUCCCCAUUUGCAGCGCCGUCUGUCGGCCUUGCUCCGCCCGGAUCCAGCCGAUGGCUAGCUCGGACGGUGACAGCUUCAACCGAGGCCCCUUCGAUGCCAACCAAGAUGUCCCCUCCGCCGUGGGCUCCGGCUUCCCCACGGCCGGAGCACCGGCGGAUUCCCCCGCGCCGCCGAGUUCGUGGACCUUAGGCGGCCCCCCAGCCGCCUUCACCGGCGCCUCCCAUCCAUUUGGCGGAUCCAGCAGCAGUGGUGCCUUCCACGCCUUCAGCAACAUGGACCUCAAUUCCGGCAACUCGUGGCCCGACUUGGACGCCUACUCUGCCUUCGUCCGCUCAGGCCAGGAGGUCCCCGGCAUCCAGGUGCCUUGCAGCGUCGCUGCAGCAGGAGGUGGUGCAGGGACGGGCGCACACGAGCAAGGAGGAGGAGCCCCGCCGGCCGGGUGGGUCCUGCCAUGAUCUGGAGGUCGUCGGCCCUGCGGCCAGAGGGGCCGGAGUGCGCGAGUCCGCGGCCCCGGUCCAACCAUCGCCGGCGACAACUUUGACACCUCCUUCGCCACCCCACCGGCGCAACCGCGGGUCACACCCGCACAUUCUGUGAGAUUUACGGCAUGCAAAUAGACAAUGGCAAUUGCAAAAUGGGUGCUAUGAGCAAGUCCGGGUGGGACGACAUCAGGAGUAGGUUCUUUGCUGCCACAGGCAGGCUGCAUACCACGGAACAAUUUUCUAGUAAGUUCAGGAACCUCAAACAGGAAUGGCAGUUUUGUAAUCUGCUUCGCUACUGCGCAUCGGGCUUAGGAAUCAAUGCAGACGGCACCCCUGCUACCGACGAUGAAUGGUGGAAGACACACACCCACGGCCAUAAAUCCUGGAGAGAGUUCAGGAAUGGUCUCCCUUCGUACUUGGAGUACAUGGACAGAAUGUUCGAACAUGUCGCUGUUGAUGGGUCGACAUCCUUUGUGGCUGCUGCAACUAAUCCAAUUGAGGUGCCCUCCUCAGAUGAUGAGGACGCCGAUGAGGAAGCGGAGCACCUCACCCCGCUCAGCCCCAGCACCCCUCGCUCCAGCAGUAGCAAAAGAAGUGGAAGUACAAGCACCACAGCCCACAGCCCAAGCAAAAAGUCCAAAGGUGCAGCAGCUAGGGAAGCGGCCAGCAACAUGACCCGCCACAAUGAGCUUCUGAGUGACAGGACUAAGCUCUUAAAGACCCUGUGGCAGGAAAGGGAGGAAAGGGAAGAAGCUACCCGGACUGAGCACAGGAGGAGGGUGAAGCAAGUGUACAACCUGGCAGCGGAGUUAGGUGUCAGUGCAGAGACGACACCACACUUGUUUCACGGAGUGAUGCGCAUAGUGGAGAACGACAAUCGUAUGGGCUGUUCUUUGCGUCCUCAACUGCAGAAAGGCUCUUCAUGAUGGAGGACCUCUCGAGGUUGCGGUGAUCUCAACAACUUCAAGCCAUAGCAAUGACAGUUGGGAUGAUGGUUUCUUCGAAUUGCUGGAACUGUGGUUUGAAGAUGAAGAUGAGGACGCCUUCUUCGACGGUAUGUAUGAAUAUGCCGUGCAUGCUGCAAAACAUUUGAGUAGAGCACCGUACCGGCAACCGCAAAUGACCGGCUCGGAAUGGGUAGAGAGGAAGUUGGGGGAUAGGAAGUCCUGUUACCGCAUGUUUAGAAUGAGCCCAAAUAUGUUUCAUAGCCUGCAUUCACUGCUGGUACAAUCUUAUGGCCUCCAGUCUAGUACCAAAUCAACCUCAAUUGAGGCUCUAGGGAUGUUUCUUUAGAUGAUUUGGUCACCUCAAUCAGUUAGGCAAGCUGAUGACAGGUUUGAGAGGUCAAUGGGGACAGUUAGCAGAAUAUUCUCCAAAGUUUUAAAGAGUGUGGUAAAGCUUGCUGCCGACAUCAUUAAACCUGUGGACCCAGAGUUCAGCACAAUGCAUCCUAGACUAGGGAACCGUAGGUUCUUUUCGUACUUCAGUAAUUGCAUAGGGGCCAUAGAUGGAAGUCAUGUACCGUGCGUGGUGCCCAAGAAUCUGUUCAUACAACAUUUGAGUCAGAAAGGGAUGAUCACACAAAAUGUAAUGGUUGCCUGUGACUUUGACAUGAGGUUUACAUUUGUGCUUAGUGGAUGGCCCAGAUCUGUUCAUGAUAUGAGACCCUUCAAUGAUGCAAUGACAACAUACAACCAUGUCUUUCCACAUCCACCAGCAGGCAAGUAUUACCUAGUGGACUCGGGGUAUCACAACCAGGUUGGAUACCUAGCACCGUACAAGGGAACGAAGUACCAUAUGCAAGAGUAUAGGAAUGCCGCAGCACAACAAGGUAUGGAAGAGACCUUCAACUAUGCACACUCUUCACUUAGGAAUGUUGUUGAGAGGUCUUUGGGUGUGUUGAAAAUGAAGUGGAGGAUGCUGAAGGAGAUACCUUGUUAUGCACCGCAAAAGCAAAGCGAAAUCAUACAGGCAGCAUGUGCAUUGCAUAAUUUCGUUAGGAACAGUGGAUUACAGGAUAGACACUUUGGUCGUUGUGACCGUGAUGAGAACUUUGUGCCGCGGGAAGCAUUUGAGGAUCAGCCGGAGACUGAAGAAGUGGAAGAUGAACCUGUCAGCAUGAAUGCGUUUCAAGAUUCGAUUGCGCUUGCUAUGUUUAACCGUAAUUGAAAGUUUUGUUCGAACUGUGUAUGUGCGUUUGAGGACAUGGACGUUUGCUGUUUUGUUCGUGCGGCAAUUGUGUAUGCUUGAGAACUGUUUGUUAGUGGCAUUGUGAAACUGUGUGUGAGAUCUCCAAUUGCAUAUCUGUUUGUGUGAAAAUGGUGUUCAUAUCUGUUUGUAGUUGAAAUUCUAUUCAUGUUUA